rnacentral:lncRNA from 1 species
CAGAGUUGCGGCGGAUGAGGGGGCACAGGAGAUGGGAUCCGAUGUUAAGGGUCUGUGGUCCACCCCCUAGAGCUCUAGGCGAUGCCGGAGCUCCCCACCCCCACCCCGCCAAGCCGGCGAGCCCUGCGCAAUUCCCGGGGAGCGGCGCAAGCCCGUCCGGGGGCGGGGCGGAGCCCGGGCUGGGGGUGCCAAACGGACCCGGCAGCUGUGCCCGCGACUCUGUAGUCCAGGCGCAUUUGGUGGGGCGACUGGGCAGGGAGCAGGCAAGGAGAGCGGGACUGAGGACUCCGCGGACAGACCGACAGACGGACGCCCCCGCAUACGCAGACGCACCGAGCUCCGCACGGCCCCUGUCACACACAGACAGGGACACACGCAGACACGCACACUCGCGCGCUCACAUCCUCCCGCCAGCCUGCUUGUCCGCCGGCG